UUUUGGAUAUUCCAACCUGGAGUUUCCAUUGUAUAAUUCUUAUCAUACAUUUUUGGACCCAGAAAACUUUAGCUGGUCUUGAUGUGUUACCCCCAAAAAAUAAUACUGUGUGACAUUAUGGAAUGAAAGUAAGCAUAAUAUGCUAAUCUUUUUAUUUUUAUAUCACUUAUGUCUGCCAACAUUCAUUGUGCAAAUAGAGAAUUGUUUAGGUGCUUUGGUAGUUCUGUGGUAUCCUGUUCCCAGUUGAGUGUAUAUAGAGCUGUAAUCACAAUAAUUUAACACUUCUAUUUGUUUGUCACAGUAUUGUUGGCAUAUACUGGUGGGUGAUAGAGCCUAUUUACUGCACAACACAUGUCUGUGUGUGCAGGAUUGACGUUUGUCAUGGGAGGACAGGAGCUGUGUCAGACAAGCGGUACUGACAAUUGUUUGCUGGCCGCGCCUUGGAAGCUGUAUUAAAAGGACAAGGAGUGUUUGUGUAAUAUUCCGUGGUUUAUGGUACUGUGAUAAUUGUUAAAGAGACAGAUGAAGCAUGGAUUGAAUAGAGACUUUUACUUAUUUCAUAUAUGGGACUCGCUAGAGGCGAGACAUGUUAAUAAUUUGUGGUGGUUAUUAAACCAACCAUAAUAUAAAUGUACAUUAAUAGAGUCUAGUGUUAGAUGACUCAGUUGGCUUAACAGAGUUUAAAUUUUAUGCAAGAAAUUGUAAAGUGGUUUCCUGUUGAAGUGAAAAUAUACCAUGAUGGAACUGAAA